rnacentral:sRNA from 1 species
AGCGCGUCCCGGCCGGGCCCGGCGCCCGGCCAGCGUCUCCGCUUCAGCUCGCCGCCGCGCUUCGGCCGCCGGGCCCGAGCGGGCGGGAAGGGAUCUCUCUAGGAGCUGACACUCGAACCUUCACGACCCAUUCGGAUUUUUCCAGGACUCAGGAGUGGCACUGGGAAGAAGGGGACCGCUUUCUGCAAUUGGCCUCGACACUGGCUGCCAAGAAGACCUGUCGCCUUUGUUUUUAAGUCUCCAGAAAUGGAAGAAGAAGGCGAAGUCAGUUGAAGUCACGAGAAAUCAGCGAGGCAUUUGAAGGCGCUUCCUGAAAACCUUUAUUCCCUGGCACGUUGUCUGUUUCAACAGCCCUGCCCCUCCUCGGAGCCUGCUUGUGGAAUUCUUCCCCUUCGGGUGUGUGGUGGCUUUCCCCCCCACCUCCAAUGUGGACUCCAAAGGAUUUGUCCCUUCUUUGUCAUUUGAAAUGAAAUGAUGGCCACGCGUCGGACUGGUCUGUCUGAGGGAGAUGGUGACAAGCUCAAGGCCUGCGAGGUUAAGCGUUUUAUGAAGUUCAUUGUGCCUUGAUGUUCUUCAUUUCUUUAGUUACUACCAGGUCAAGUAAUCUAGCACAAAGGUCUCAAAAAAUAAAGAUGGAAAAGAACAAAGUGAAACUGUAUCACUGUCUGAAGAUGA